rnacentral:rRNA from 1 species
AUUGAACGCUGGCGGCAGGCUUAACACAUGCAAGUCGAACGAUGAUUAUCUAGCUUGCUAGAUAUGAUUAGUGGCGGACGGGUGAGUAACAUUUAGGAAUCUGCCUAGUAGUGGGGGAUAGCUCGGGGAAACUCGAAUUAAUACCGCAUACGACCUACGGGUGAAAGGGGGCGCAAGCUCUUGCUAUUAGAUGAGCCUAAAUCAGAUUAGCUAGUUGGUGGGGUAAAGGCCCACCAAGGCGACGAUCUGUAACUGGUCUGAGAGGAUGAUCAGUCACACCGGAACUGAGACACGGUCCGGACUCCUACGGGAGGCAGCAGUGGGGAAUAUUGGACAAUGGGGGCAACCCUGAUCCAGCCAUGCCGCGUGUGUGAAGAAGGCCUUUUGGUUGUAAAGCACUUUAAGCAGGGAGGAGAGGCUAAUGGUUAAUACCCAUUAGAUUAGACGUUACCUGCAGAAUAAGCACCGGCUAACUCUGUGCCAGCAGCCGCGGUAAUACAGAGGGUGCGAGCGUUAAUCGGAAUUACUGGGCGUAAAGCGAGUGUAGGUGGCUCAUUAAGUCACAUGUGAAAUCCCCGGGCUUAACCUGGGAACUGCAUGUGAUACUGGUGGUGCUAGAAUAUGUGAGAGGGAAGUAGAAUUCCAGGUGUAGCGGUGAAAUGCGUAGAGAUCUGGAGGAAUACCGAUGGCGAAGGCAGCUUCCUGGCAUAAUAUUGACACUGAGAUUCGAAAGCGUGGGUAGCAAACAGGAUUAGAUACCCUGGUAGUCCACGCCGUAAACGAUGUCUACUAGCCGUUGGGGUCCUUGAGACUUUAGUGGCGCAGUUAACGCGAUAAGUAGACCGCCUGGGGAGUACGGCCGCAAGGUUAAAACUCAAAUGAAUUGACGGGGGCCCGCACAAGCGGUGGAGCAUGUGGUUUAAUUCGAUGCAACGCGAAGAACCUUACCUGGUCUUGACAUAGUGAGAAUCCUGCAGAGAUGCGGGAGUGCCUUCGGGAAUUCACAUACAGGUGCUGCAUGGCUGUCGUCAGCUCGUGUCGUGAGAUGUUGGGUUAAGUCCCGCAACGAGCGCAACCCUUUUCCUUAUUUGCCAGCGGGUUAAGCCGGGAACUUUAAGGAUACUGCCAGUGACAAACUGGAGGAAGGCGGGGACGACGUCAAGUCAUCAUGGCCCUUACGACCAGGGCUACACACGUGCUACAAUGGUAGGUACAGAGGGUUGCUACACAGCGAUGUGAUGCUAAUCUCAAAAAGCCUAUCGUAGUCCGGAUUGGAGUCUGCAACUCGACUCCAUGAAGUCGGAAUCGCUAGUAAUCGCAGAUCGGAAUGCUGCGGUGAAUACGUUCCCGGGCCU